UACGGAGGGUGCAAGCAUUAAUCGGAUUUAUUGGGCGUAAAGGGCGCGUAGGCGGAUUGUUAAGUCAGAUGUGAAAUCCUGGGGCUCAACCUCGGAACAGCAUUUGAAACUACCGAUCUAGAGGGUAGGCGGAGAAAACGGAAUUCCACAAGUAGCGGUGAAAUGCGUAGAUAUGUGGAAGAACACCGGUGGCGAAGGCGGUUUUCUAGCUUACUCCUGACGCUGAGGCGCGAAAGCAAGGGGAUCAAACAGG
rnacentral:rRNA from 1 species